GCCGGAAAGCAAAGUAAUCGUCCAAGGCUUUGGAUUUAAAGUCGACCGACGAGAAAGAAUCAUUGAGAUUGAUCGGAUUCCGCGACACGAUUGCGGAGGCAGCCUGGUUGGGCCACCACGACGGGUGCGUGAAACAGAGGGAAGAGAUCCUUCUCGCUGCAACUCUAAACAUCUUCUACUUCUUCGCUUCUCUUCUCCUCCUCCUUCCUCUACUUUGUUCUCCUCUGCAAAUGUUGACUUCUACGUUGGCAUCCAAAACGAUACUCUCUCUGAAGCGGCAAGUGGAGUGGCGUCUUUGCUUCGCGGGAUGUUUGGAAUGCGCG
rnacentral:misc_RNA from 1 species